CCUGGCGGCGAUAGUGCGGUGGAACCACCUGAGACCAUACCGAACUCAGAAGUGAAACGCUGUAAUGCCGAUGGUAGUGUGGGGUUUC
rnacentral:rRNA from 1 species